rnacentral:rRNA from 1 species
UACGUAGGGGGCUAGCGUUGUCCGGAUUUAUUGGGCGUAAAGAGCGUGUAGGCGGCCAGGUAGGUCUGCUGUGAAAACUCGAGGCUCAACCUCGAGAUGUCGGCGGAAACCAUCUGGCUAGAGUCCGGAAGAGGAGAGUGGAAUUCCUGGUGUAGCGGUGAAAUGCGCAGAUAUCAGGAAGAACACCCGUGGCGAAGGCGGCUCUCUGGGACGGUACUGACUCUGAGACGCGAAAGCGUGGGGAGCGAACAGG